AUUUCCUCUGAGUAUUUUCUCAUCAGGUGAAAAAAAAUCCGUGGUUAUCAGCUUAAUAUCUGCUACAUCCGGCAUCAGAGGACUAGAAUAUUAAACUCAUUUUUGGAUUAUGACAGAGUGCUAAGAGCAUGCUCUACGUCUGUCACAGGAUGCCUCCUCACUUUCUAAGUGUGUUAAAGUAACCAAAUCAUU